UACGAAGGGGGCUAGCGUUGUUCGGAAUUACUGGGCGUAAAGGGCGCGUAGGCGGUGUGUCAAGUCAGGCGUGAAAGCCCCGGGCUCAACCUGGGAACUGCGUCUGAUACUGGAAGGCUUGAGUAUGGGAGAGGGAUGUAGAAUUCCAGGUGUAGCGGUGAAAUGCGUAGAUAUCUGGAGGAACACCGGUGGCGAAGGCGGCAUCCUGGACCAACACUGACGCUGAGUGAGCGAAAAGCCAGGGGGAGC
rnacentral:rRNA from 1 species